GAUUAGAGUUUGAUCAUGGCUCAGCGCGAACGCUGGCGGCAUGGUUAAAGCAUGCAAGUCGAACGCGAAAGCAACUUCGGUUGCAUGGACAGUGGCGAAAGGGCGAGUAAUACGUUUCUAACGUGCCCAGAGGUCAGGGAUAGCCCAGGGAAACUUGGAAUAAUACCUGAUAACCCCGCGAAAUCGUAUGGUUUUGCGUGCAAAGGUUUACUGCCUCUGGAUCGGGAAACGUCCUAUCAGCUUGUUGGUGAGGUAAAAGCUCACCAAGGCAAAGACGGGUAGCGGGUGUGAGAGCAUGACCCGCCGCAUCGGGACUGAGACACUGCCCGGACUCCUACGGGAGGCUGCAGCGACGAAUAUUCCGCAAUGGGCGAAAGCCUGACGGAGCAAUGCCGCGUGUAGGAUGAAGCGCCUUCGGUGUUAAACUACUGUCAGGGACUAGAACCAACGAUCAGUCCCAGAGGAAGGACCGGCUAAUUCCGUGCCAGCAGCCGCGGUAAUACGGAAGGUCCAAGCGUUAUUCGGAAUCACUGGGCUUAAAGAGUGCGCAGGCUGACUAGCAAGUGUUCUGUGAAAUCCCACGGCUCAACCGUGGAACUGCAGGGCAAACUGCUAGACUUGAGGUAGGUAGGGGAAGACGGAACUAUCGGUGGAGCGGUGAAAUGCAUAGAUAUCGAUGGGAACGCCAAUGGCGAAGGCAGUCUUCUGGGCCUUACCUGACGCUGAUGCACGAAAGCGUGGGGAGCAAACAGGAUUAGAUACCCUGGUAGUCCACGCCGUAAACUAUGUGCACUAGGUCGAGGAGGCUUUGACGCCAUCUCGGACGAAGUUAAAACGUUAAGUGCACCGCCUGGGGAGUACGGUCGCAAGGCUAAAACUCAAAGGAAUUGACGGGGGCUCACACAAGCGGUGGAGCAUGUGGCUUAAUUCGAAGCAACGCGAAGAACCUUAUCCUGGAUUUGACAUGCACGGAUUAGCUCCCAGAAACGGGAGUGACGCUCUUACUGUGGAACGUCGAUAGGUGCUGCAUGGCUGUCGUCAGCUCGUGCUGUGAAGUGUCGGGUUAAGUCCUUUAACGAGCGAAACCCCUGCCGUUAGUUGCUAACAGGUAAUGCUGAGGACUCUAGCGGGACUGCCGGUGUCAAACCGGAGGAAGGUGGGGAUGACGUCAAGUCCUCAUGGCCUUUAUGUCCAGGGCUGCACACGUGCUACAAUGGCGUAUACAGAGCGACGCGAGACCGCAAGGUGGAGCAAAUCGCAAAAAGUACGCCCCAGUUCGGAUUGGGGUCUGCAACUCGACCCCAUGAAGUUGGAAUCGCUAGUAAUCGCGUAUCAGCUACGACGCGGUGAAUACGUUCCUGAGCCUUGUACACACCGCCCGUCAAGUCAUGGAAGCCGGGAGUGCCCGAAGCCGCCCUAAUUCAGGGGUGUCUAAGGUAAGUUCGGUGACUGGGACUAAGUCGUAACAAGGUAGCCGUAAAU
rnacentral:rRNA from 1 species